GGGCGGUUAGCUCAGCUGGUUAGAGCGUCGCAUUUACACUGCGAAGGUCGGGGGUUCGAGUCCUCCACCGCCCA
rnacentral:tRNA from 1 species